AUCAUGCUUUUUGCCUAGGGCCCUCUCGCGGCCAACUAAACUCUUUUUACAGCGCGCGCCGCCUAGAAUUUUGAUCAACUAUGCGAUGGGCGUAUCGAGCAUGCGAGUUUUACAUUCCACCGCGCUUUGUUUAAGAGGAAUAGCUGACAUUCCGGGCGUUUCGGUAUAGUUUUCUUGUAGGGCUAGGUCCAAAAUAUUGUUGAUUCCGUUCCAACUCUGCUUUGGGUUGACAUCUAUCUGCCUGGUUCUGCUCCUGCUUUGCGACCAGCAUUUACAGCGAGCAUUGCACACUCCACUUUUUCUGCAAGUUUUGGGUGCGGCUCCCCGAUAGCAGCAAUAUAAUUUUAUAUCCGGCGUUGCCGGCAUUGCAUUUUACAAUAUUUUUGCUGCUUCUACAUCGAUUUUAACAUCGGACACGGAGUAGGCAUGAGCGUAGACCAUCCCAAGUGAUACCAUCCUUGGAGUGACAGUUCACCACCCUAUUGUCCCUUUUUGACUGUCGUUUUUAUAGACCCAACAAAGUUCUGUUUUUAUAUACUCACCAAAGUUCCUAAUAUAAUUCUUUUUGUAAAUACUGUACUUGAUAAUUUGUAUAUAUAUUGUCUCAUAUUUGUGCUGUAAAUAAACCAUUUGAUAUUCUUGAGACAAACAGAAACUUCGCUCCACCCAAAUCAGUUUUUAGUGGAACCCCUCGGUUGAAAGGAGAGUGCCACAUUUUUAACUAACUAAAUUUCGCUCUCCCCGGUUACAUAUUAUUAUUUCUUUUUGUUGGGGGGGGGGGGAGGGAGCAUUGUAUAUUGGAGAAAAAUAGGAGGUUUUAUCAUUUUAGGCCGCGCAGAUCCACUAUGCAAGUAGACUGGUUCAUGAUGUCCCUUUUCAUUGUAUAAUCGAUUCUAAACGGAUAUGGGAUUGACUCCAAUGAGAACGCAAACAGUUAAAUUAUAUAAACUUACUUGCCAAUAGUAAAAUCGUCCUGAUAUUUUUGUUGACAAAGUUCGUUCAAAUUGUGUAACUUUUGAAUUACUAAGAUAGCAAUGUUUAAAAACCAAUUGUGUUUUCGGGAUGAAACUCAAAAAUGAACGGAAAACAUAAAAUAUGUUGUCAGAAAACUCAGUCCCACGUUGCCCUUUAGAAUAAUAUUUUACGUUAAAGUUACUUCUGGCAUAACUAGUAGUCACCCGGAGAUGUACGCCUACCCAGCUUAGCAAUUUCAGGACAUUUAAAUCCUUGCUAAAGGUUAAUAUAUGCAUAUAAAUAGACUUGUGCCCAUCCUUGCUGAAGAUGAAUACAUGUAUAAUUAUAUAAACAAAAUCUGACACAAGAGGCUUUAAUGUGUUAUUUUUAAAUAGGCGAACUGAAAGCGACAUUGUACUGUUAUAUCAGAUUUAUACUAGCUUUGUAAUAAUAAUGAUUGACGAAGGUUUGCUUCCAUGCAUUCACCGGAUACAUUCUUUGUAAUAAAUGUAGAAACAGUAAGUC